UACGGAGGGGGCGAGCGUUAUUCGGAAUUAUUGGGCGUAAAGGGCGCGUAGGCGGCCCGGUAAGUCAAAGGUGAAAUCCCUCGGCUCAACUGAGGAACUGCCUUUGAAACUGUCGGGCUUGAGGCCGGGAGGGGGUAGCGGAAUUCCCAGUGUAGCGGUGAAAUGCGUAGAUAUUGGGAGGAACACCAGUGGCGAAGGCGGCUACCUGGACCGGUUCUGACGCUGAUGCGCGAAAGCCAGGGGAGCAAACGGG
rnacentral:rRNA from 1 species